rnacentral:lncRNA from 1 species
UUUUUAUUUUUUGCUUUGUUUAUCUUUUUCACAAUUGGCAAGCUGAUAUUAAGACAUAAGGAGCUGGGCAAUGGUUUUUUCUUAUUCUUGGGUUUGAAGAGUUUUUCAUUUGUUCUGGCCACAGUCCUGUGGUAGCUACAUUGUUAGAAAGUAUUUUUCCUGUUGGGGAACUUUGGAAAUUUCUGCAUGAGCCGUUCAUAGUCUGUGAAGGUAGAUUCCAGGCAUCUGUAUAUGAAGAAACACAUUGUGUUACAUCUAAACAACUUACUAUUAUUUAGCAGUAAGAAUUAAAUGGGCUCCCAAGCCAGGUGUUAGCAUACUUGUUAGCAUACUCAGGAAGGAAG